AUUGAACGCUGGCGGCAGGCCUAACACAUGCAAGUCGAGCGGAGCGGCGGACGGGUGAGUAAUGCCUAGGAAUCUGCCUGGUAGUGGGGGAUAACGUCCGGAAACGGGCGCUAAUACCGCAUACUAUCAGAUGAGCCUAGGUCGGAUUAGCUAGUUUGUGGGGUAAAGGCCUACCGAGGCGACGAUCCGUAACUGGUCUGAGAGGAUGAUCAGUCACACUCGAACUGUGACACGGUCCAUAAGCCAACGGGAGACAGCGGUGGGGAAUAUUGGACAGUGGGCGAUAGCCUGAUCCAGCCAUGCCGCGUGUGUGAAGAAGGUCUUCGGAUUGUAAAGCACUUGAAGUUGGGAGGCGUUACCAACAGAAUGAGCACCGGCUAACUUCGUGCCAGCAGCCGCGGUAAAUC
rnacentral:rRNA from 1 species